rnacentral:lncRNA from 1 species
CCCUCUUUCUGGAGAUCUACUGUCCUGUAGGUUUUCAGUCCAACCCUCUUCCUGGAGAUCUACUGUCCUGUAGGUUAUCAGUCCAACCCUCUUCCUGGAGAUCUGCCGGCCUGUGUGUUUUCAGUCCAACCCUCUUUCUGGAGAUCUACCGUCCUGUGGGUUUUCAGUCCAACCCUCUUCCUGGAGAUCUGCCGUCCUGUGGGUUAUCAGUCCAGCCCUCUUCCUGGAGAUCUACUGUCCUGUAGGUUAUCAGUCCAACCCUCUUCCUGGAGAUCUACUGUCCUGUAGGUUAUCAGUCCAACCCUCUUCCUGGAGAUCUACCGUCCUGUAGGUUAUCAGUCCAACCCUCUUCCUGGAGAUCUACUGUCCUGUAGGUUAUCAGUCCAACCCUCUUCCUGGAGAUCUACCGUCCUGUGGGUUUUCAGUCCAACCCUCUUCCUGGAGAUCUACUGUCCUGUAGGUUAUCAGUCCAACCCUCUUCCUGGAGAUCUACUGUCCUGUAGGUU